AUUGAACGCUGGCGGCAGGCCUAACACAUGCAAGUCGAGCGGAUGAAGGGAGCUUGCUCCUGGAUUCAGCGGCGGACGGGUGAGUAAUGCCUAGGAAUCUGCCUGGUAGUGGGGGAUAACGUCCGGAAACGGGCGCUAAUACCGCAUACGUCCUGAGGGAGAAAGGGGGGGAUCUUCGGACCUCACGCUAUCAGAUGAGCCUAGGUCGGAUUAGCUAGUUGGUGGGGUAAAGGCCUACCAAGGCGACGAUCCGUAACUGGUCUGAGAGGAUGAUCAGUCACACUGGAACUGAGACACGGUCCAGACUCCUACGGGAGGCAGCAGUGGGGAAUAUUGGACAAUGGGCGAAAGCCUGAUCCAGCCAUGCCGCGUGUGUGAAGAAGGUCUUCGGAUUGUAAAGCACUUUAAGUUGGGAGGAAGGGCAGUAAGUUAAUACCUUGCUGUUUUGACGUUACCAACAGAAUAAGCACCGACUAACUUCGUG
rnacentral:rRNA from 1 species